rnacentral:rRNA from 1 species
CCCUUCGAUACUCUGGGCGGCACGCGCGCUACAAUGAGUCGUUUAAUCUGUCACACUUCCGAAGUGGAUCUGUGAAUCAGUAAUGCGUUCUCAUGAGUGGGAUAGUCUUCUGAAAUUUCCAGACUUGAAAAAGGAAUCCCUUGUAAGCUUGCUAAAGAACAGCAAGUUGAAUACGUCCCUGUGGAAUGUACACACCGCCCGUCGCUCCUACCGAUUGAAUGCUCAGGUGAGCCAUUCGGACUUUCAUCAUGCUGGUUUCCAGUUUUGAUGAAGGAAAGUCUUGCGAACCUUAUCAUUUAGAGGAAGGAGAAGUCGUAACA